UGCCUCUGGAAAGCGGUGACGACACGUAAGGUUGUCACCCGCCGAUGGGGAAAAGCGCCGGAAGGUAGCGGCGCCGAAUCUCUCAGGCGCCUGGCGAACGGGUGAAGACAGAGGGAGAGGG
rnacentral:ncRNA from 1 species